rnacentral:snoRNA from 1 species
CCCCUCUCGGGAUCGCACCUGCAGAGUUUCCAAUACUCUACCGGCCUCGGCUACAGGAGGGAGAGUCAAGCAGAAGGAUCCCCGUUCCAUUCCUAGCUCGAGCAGUGGCUAGCGAGUGGAAGACAAUCUGCUACAAGU